rnacentral:rRNA from 1 species
GUGCAAGCGUUUGUUACACAGUGAAACUGCGAAUGGCUCAUUAAAUCAGUUGUGGUUCAUUGGAUCGUAUUCACCCGUGAGUGGAUAACCGCGGCAAACCCGGGGCUAAUACAUGCACGCAGAUGCCUCGAUCCCUUCGCGGGGAGAGGGGCGCAGUUAUUAGACCAAGACCAACCGACCGUCGCUCGCUCCGGCGGGCCGGCGGCCGACCGUAUCUGUGGUGACUCUGGGUAACCUCGGGCUGAUCGCACGGCCUCCGCGCCGGCGACGUAUCUUUCAAAUGUCUGCCCUAUCAAAUGUCGAAGGGAGGUGCCUUGCCUCCCUUGUUGGCCACGGGUGACGGGGAAUCAGGGUUCGGUUCCGGAGAGGGAGCAUGAGAGUCGGCUACCACGUCCAAGGAAGGCAGCAGGCGCGCAAAUUACCCACUCCUGACACGGGGAGGUAGUGACGAAAACUAACGGUGCGGGACUCCGUUGAGGCUCCGCAACCGGAAUGAGUACACUUUAAAUCCUUGUAUCGAGGACCCAUUGGAGGGCAAGUCUGGUGCCAGCAGCCGCGGUAAUUCCAGCUCCAAUAGCGUAUAUUAAAGUUGUUGCAGUUAAAUGGAGCCUGCGGCUUAAUUUGACUCAACACGGGGAAACUCACCCGGCCCGGACACCGUAAGGAUUGACAGAAUGAGGGCUCUUUCUUGAUUCGGUGGGUGGUGGUGCAUGGCCGUUCUUAGUUGGUGGAGCGAUCCGUCUGGUUAAUUCCGAUAACGAACGAGACCCCGGCUUACUAAAUAGUCCGCCGUAGAGCCCGUGUUGCUCUCGGCGACCGCAAAUUUUGUUGAAAAUAGACUUCUUAGGGGGAGAAGCGGCGUCGCAACAGCCGCCUGAACGGGGGCAAUAACAGGUCUGUGAUGCCCUUAGAUGUCCGGGGCCGCACGCGCGCUACACUGAAAGAGUCAGAGGGUAGAGUCCCAGCCAGACAUGGCCGGGCAAUCCGUGGAAAAACUCUAUCGUGCUAGGGACUGGGGCUUGAAAUUGGCCUCACCAACGAGGAAUUCCCAGUAAGCGCGAGUCAUCAGCUCGUGUUGAUCACGUCCCUGCCCUUUGUACACACCGCCCGUCGCUACUACCGAUUGGAUGGUUUGGUGAGGCCUUCGGACGGGACCCGGGGCGGCCUUCCCGGCCGCUCGUCUUGGUGCUGCCCGGAAGGAGGUCGAAC